rnacentral:lncRNA from 1 species
UUGAGGCUUUAGAUGUGUGUUAAUUUGUUUGUUUUAGUUGCUCUUAAAAUAAAAAUAUUCACAAUUCUUUGGAAGAAAUAAAACAUCAACACCAAUUCAAUAUAUUUAGCACUCUAUUGAUUGGAGAAUUACUUCCUUUAACUACCGUAGGAGGAAGAAACACAUGCUUCAGCCCACACUUCUUGCACAGUUAAUAAUUCAGGCUUUUUUUUUUUUUUUUUUUUUUUUCCCAUAGGCCAGGUGAUCUUAAGUCAAUGGAAAAAACAAUGCUAUGUGGUAAAUAUGACUAGAGAAGCAGAGAUCUGUCUCCUUCACGAGCCCCCAUUGAAAGGAAAUGAUGGCUGCUUGUGAGAAGUCACCACCAUGCCCUCUGACAGGAGGAGAAAGAGGAGGCAUGGAGAAAUGUCCCAUUUUCCUCCAGAUGAGUCUGUGGCUGGACUUAUUGUAGAAUUACAGAGCACCUGUGGGCCUACCACCAAGAUAUUUAAAGUCGAAGGUUUAACCAUGACAGAGUGACUGAUAAACUUCACUGAUGACUAUUUGUUUCACAUCAACCCAAUUCAUUUCCCAUGGAAAUACUUUAUCUCAGCUAAGAAAUAUAUGAGAAACUUAGGUGAGAUUGAGUGAAAUCAGUGGGAAUAGCUGCAUUUAAUGUAGCUUAUAUUGCUGAGUCAGAAUUUGUCCUGGCAGGGAAAACUACCUUAAUUUUGUUUUUUCCCCUAACAAUCUGAGUUACAACCUGAAUCAUUAAGAUGAUAAAGUGAAACCUAUACUAGUGGCUGUUUUUAUUAGCAAACAACCUAUGUUAGAGCACUAUAAAAUAUUCAGACCGAAUCACCAAUAUAAAAAAAUGCUUUAUUUUUCCUAGUUACAUCUCCAACUGAAGUUUACCAUCUUACCAUCUAAAACCCUUGUGAAGACCAAACACAAGUAGUUUUUACUUUGAUAUAGCUAGACAACUUCAUAUAUGCCAUACAUAGCCAUUACCUUCAGUAGUUACCCAAGGUCCAAACAAUCUUAAAAAUAAACCCCUUUGCUGCCAGGAGAAUAUCCACAAAAAUAAACUAUGUCUUUGAUGUACAGUCUUUUUCUCCAGCUAUUUAAAACUUCUUAAGGUCAUGCCAAUAAAUAUUUUCUAGAUGACAUUGUAAAAUGUUUUCAAGGUUAUCCAUACCUGUGUUAACACCAAGGCCUUCACUCACAGUCUUAAUGCUUUUCUGAAGAAAUUUCCCCAGCUGUCAGCUUCCCACACGGUGGUGCAG